UAGGGAAUCUUCCACAAUGGACGCAAGUCUGAUGGAGCAACGCCGCGUGAGUGAAGAAGGUUUUCGGAUCGUAAAGCUCUGUUGUUGGUGAAGAAGGAUAGAGGCAGUAACUGGUCUUUAUUUGACGGUAAUCAACCAGAAAGUCACGGCUAACUACGUGCCAGCAGCCGCGGUAAUACGUAGGUGGCAAGCGUUGUCCGGAGUUAUUGGGCGUAAAGCGAGCGCAGGCGGAAUGAUAAGUCUGAUGUGAAAGCCCACGGCUCAACCGUGGAACUGCAUCGGAAACUGUCAUUCUUGAGUGCAGAAGAGGAGAGUGGAAUUCCAUGUGUAGCGGUGGAAUGCGUAGAUAUAUGGAAGAACACCAGUGGCGAAGGCGGCUCUCUGGUCUGCAACUGACGCUGAGGCUCGAAAGCAUGGGUAGCGAACAGG
rnacentral:rRNA from 1 species